GUCUGGGUGGCUCAGUUGUUUGAGCAUCUGUCUUUGGCCCAGGUCAUGAUCUCACAGUUUGUGGGUUCAAGCCCCACAUCAGGCU
rnacentral:tRNA from 1 species